rnacentral:lncRNA from 1 species
CUUUUCCAUGCCCUUUGGUGUGGUAGAAAGCAGCCUCCAGGCGGUAACUCGGAAGCCCUCUUCAGUGAUCACACAUGGAAUAUCGGUAACGUUAUAGGCAGAAGACGCGUGGGGAGGGGAGGAGGAAGAAGAAGAAGAAGAAGAAGAAGAAAAAAAAAAUCCCAAUUUCCACCACACGUUCUCAAAAUACAGUCGCCUGAGACGACGGUCACAGGCCCUAAGUGCUGAGUGUGGAGAACCCAAAACACACCAGAAACAGCCUCCGGUGUGGCCGGCACACAUGCCGCUGGCCUCGGGUCAUCUCCCUGAGAAAAUUGCACAACCACACUUUUGUCCCUAGGGACUGCCGGGUUAGGUCGGAACUGGCUCUGCU